rnacentral:lncRNA from 1 species
CCUAUAGUUAUACUCAAAACAUUUACCAAUAAUAGCCCCAUAAUGUAAGUCUGCAUAUGGUUCAUCUCCAGUUAAAAGUUCCCAUAAAACUAUGCCAAACGAAAAAACAUCAACCUACAGAAACAACAAAGUCAUAUAUAACAUUAAUUUAGUUUUUCAAUGAUGAAAUACACACACACACACGCACGUGUGUUUGUGUGUGUAUGAGAGAGAGAAAGAUAUAAAGGAGAGAGAGGAGAUACAAAUCACACAAUGAAUGAAUGUUACAAGGCAAGAAUGAGUUUGUUUCCCCCUUUUGGACAUGUCCUCCGUCUCAAUACUAAAAGAACUCUAAAUCAUAACUAAAUUAUUAUAUUUGGGUUUCAAAGGUAGCACUCACACAACAUUAUGCCAACUAAACCAACUGCAACACAACAUUCUGCCAACUACACAUAUUUGAACAUUGAACACCAAUGAAUGAGGCUGAACACAACAUUGGACACAAUGCUUUUGCUGCCCCCUGUUGAACAUAUGAAUGAACACAUUUGAAGACAACAAUGAAUGCUUCUGCUGCCCUGCUGAACAUAUGAAUAAACACAUUUUUUAACACAACAUUGAACACAUGAAUGAAUACAUAUUUUAACACAACAUUAGUACUGUUGAACACAACAACAUAUAUAUUUAUUACUGCUGAACACAUGAAUGAACACACGAUACUACUGUUGAACACAACAUUCAUAUGUACUAUUGCAAGAAAGUGGAGAGAACUCACUUUUAUUGCAUUAAGCUAAUGAAGGUAAUAAUCCUUCAAAAAUGCGUGCUACAAAAUCAUGGUGAGUUGGUGCUAAAAAUGUGGUGAAUGGAUAUCAUUUUGUUCACAAUAGCCACUCCAUGAAAAUGAGACUCAUAAAGAGGUGAAACACCAACCAAAAGUAAUGCUGCUGAAUUGUAUAAUUUUCCAAGGUAAAAGUUGCAGAUUACAUAACUCAAAAUAUGUAGUCUAAAAAGCAAAAAAUUAUCGAUAGAAACAAAAUUCAACAGCCUGAUCGAUUACCAGAGUAAUUUUGCCCCAAUUCCUUUUCACAACAAGUUGCCGAUCCCAAUUCGAGCUAGUUCCAAUUCCAAUUCGUAGAGAUUGCAGUAAUCACAACAACUAAUCGUAGAAAUUGGGUAAAUCGUUGAGACUAGAAAUUGUUGAGAGACUAGAAAUUAUUGAGAGGAAAUUGCAGAAAUCGUUGAGAGUCUCAACGAAAUUGCAGAUGGAUCCGCUAGAAAGUCGUCCGCUUGUCCUUUAAGCGGAUUGAAUAUUUUUUUCGAAUACUUGGCCUAAUUAAGGGCAUAACUAGCGGAUGGCGAAGAGUGG